rnacentral:misc_RNA from 1 species
GACUACCAGCGAGUUAGAACCAGUUUUCCAGCAUCACUCCUCACCAGAAGUCUCUUCGUCAAACUCGCCAAGGCCAAGCGACUCUGUCCAAGUGGUUCCUUGCCUUUGGGUCUUUUAAGAUCAAGCACCUCUUGUCUCUUAGGUCUUCGACACUUAUGAAGAGCUACUAAAAAAAAGCUUGAAAAAGGUACUACUUCCUUGUAUUGUGUUACUCUAACUGGGGCUACUUACGAU